CGGACCCGACUCCUAUCAGGAAUGGACCUAAGCCAUUCAAGUCACCGUAGCAAUCCGUGCAUACGGCUCAGUAACCCGUAGUCAACAUCCCCAGGGACGUGGAUACCCUCGGGAAACUGAGGAUAACCCGCGAUAGGUCAUAGUAUCUGGAAUGAUUUAUGGCCUCAAAUCUACAUGCCCUCUGGAUUGGACUUCGGCCGAUCAGGCUGUUGGUUAGGUAAUGCCCCACCAAACCCUAAAACCGGUACGGGCUCUGAGAGGAGAAGCCCGGAGAUGGGCACUGAGACAAGGGCCCAGGCCCUAUGGGGCGCAGCAGGCGCGAAAACUCUGCAAUAAGCGAAAGCUUGACAGGGUUAUUCUGAGUGAUUUCCGCUAAGGAAAUCUUUUGGCACCUCUAAAAAUGGUGCAGAAUAAGGGGUGGGCAAGCCUGGUGUCAGCCGCCGCGGUAAUAGCAGCACCCCGAGUGGUCGGGACGAUUAUUGGGCCUAAAGCAUCCGUAGCCGGUUCUACAAGUCUUCCGUUAAAUCCACCUGCUCAACAGAUGGGCUGCGGAGGAUACUAUAGAGCUAGGAGGCGGGAGAGGCAAGCGGUACUUAGUGGGUAGGGGUAAAAUCCGUUGAUCCAUUGAAGACCACCAGUGGCGAAGGCGGCUUGCCAGAACGCACUCGACGGUGAGGGAUGAAAGCUGGGGGAGCAAACCGGAUUAGAUACCCGGGUAGUCCCAGCUGUAAACGAUGCAGACUCGGUGAUGAAUAGGCUUCGUGCCUAUUCAGUGCCGCAGGGAAGCCGUUAAGUCUGCCGCCUGGGGAGUACGGUCGCAAGACUGAAACUUAAAGGAAUUGGCGGGGGAGCACCACUAGGGGUGAAGCCUGCGGUUCAAUUGGAUUCAACGCCGGGAAGGGC
rnacentral:rRNA from 1 species